GCUUUUAUAGUGUAAUAAAACACAUUACAUUUUCAAUGUAAAAAUAAGAAUUUAUUUCUUUUAAAGCA
rnacentral:tRNA from 1 species